GCCGCUUUAGCAAAUGUGGUCAUUGCGGACGCCUGAAGAGCGUUGGAACCUGGUUCGAUCCCAGGAGGCGGCCCCA
rnacentral:tRNA from 1 species